UGCCUUACACAUGCAAGUCGAACGGCAGCACGGGGGCAACCCUGGUGGCGAGUGGCGAACGGGUGAGUAAUAUAUCGGAACGUGCCCUGGAGUGGGGGAUAACGUAGCGAAAGUUACGCUAAUACCGCAUACGAUCUAUGGAUGAAAGUGGGGGAUUCGCAAGAACCUCACGCUCCUGGAGCGGCCGAUAUCUGAUUAGCUAGUUGGUGGGGUAAAAGCCUACCAAGGCGACGAUCAGUAGCUGGUCUGAGAGGACGACCAGCCACACUGGGACUGAGACACGGCCCAGACUCCUACGGGAGGCAGCAGUGGGGAAUUUUGGACAAUGGGGGCAACCCUGAUCCAGCAAUGCCGCGUGAGUGAAGAAGGCCUUCGGGUUGUAAAGCUCUUUUGUCAGGGAAGAAACGGUUUAGGUUAAUACCUUGAACUAAUGAUGGUACCUGAAGAAUAAGCACCGGCUAACUACGUGCCAGCAGCCGCGGUAAUACGUAGGGUGCAAGCGUUAAUCGGAAUUACUGGGCGUAAAGCGUGCGCAGGCGGUUUUGUAAGCCAGAUGUGAAAUCCCCGGGCUUAACCUGGGAAUGGCAUUUGGGACUGCAAGGCUCGAGUGCGGCAGAGGAGACUGGAAUUCCUGGUGUAGCAGUGAAAUGCGUAGAUAUCAGGAGGAACACCGAUGGCGAAGGCAGGUCUCUGGGCUGACACUGACGCUCAUGCACGAAAGCGUGGGGA
rnacentral:rRNA from 1 species